rnacentral:misc_RNA from 1 species
GAAUUUUAGCGCAUCUGCUUGCAGAGCGUGACCUCCACUCUAUACACUGUGCACUUAUUGGCAAAUGCGAUAGAUCCUGUUAACGCGGGUGAAUCAAAUUUGCGGCUCACUUUUAAACACCAGUCAAAGAAUGUAUACGAAAUAUCGAAAAAAGAAAAACUUUCAACAACGGAUCUCUUGGCUCU